rnacentral:rRNA from 1 species
CUUGAACGCUGGCGGCAGGCCUCACACAUUCAAUUCGAGCGGAGCGGCGGACGGGUGAGUAAUGCCUAGGAAUCUGCCUGGUAGUGGGGGAUAACGUCCGGAAACGGGCGCUAAUACCGCAUACUAUCAGAUGAGCCUAGGUCGGAUUAGCUAGUUGGUGGGGUAAAGGCCUACCAAUGCGACGAUCCGUAACUGGUCUGAGAGGAUGAUCAGUCACACGGGAACGGAGACACGGUCCAGACUCCUACGGGAGGCAGCAGUGGGGAAUAUUGGACAAGUGGCGAACGCCUGAUCCAGCCAUGCCGCGUGUGUGAAGAAGGUCUUCGGAUUGUAAAGCACUUUAAGUUGGGAGGCGUUACCAACAGAAUAAGCACCGGCUAACUUCGUGAAAGCAGCCGCGGUAAUAC